rnacentral:rRNA from 1 species
GUGGGGAAUAUUGGACAAUGGGCGAAAGCCUGAUCCAGCCAUGCCGCGUGUGUGAAGAAGGUCUUCGGAUUGUAAAGCACUUUAAGUUGGGAGGAAGGGUAGUAACCUAAUACGUUGCUACUUUGACGUUACCGACAGAAUAAGCACCGGCUAACUUCGUGCCAGCAGCCGCGGUAAUACGAAGGGUGCAAGCGUUAAUCGGAAUUACUGGGCGUAAAGCGCGCGUAGGUGGUUCAGUAAGUUGGAAGUGAAAUCCCCGGGCUCAACCUGGGAACUGCUUUCAAAACUGCUGAGCUAGAGUACGGUAGAGGGUGGUGGAAUUUCCUGUGUAGCGGUGAAAUGCGUAGAUAUAGGAAGGAACACCAGUGGCGAAGGCGACUACCUGGACUGAUACUGACACUGAGGUGCGAAAGCGUGGGGAGCAAACAGGAUUAGAUACCCUUGUAGUCC